CCAUCAAGGGAUCCCCCUUCUUCUUUGUAAAUCGAAGACCUUACUAUCUCACUUCCUCUUCCUCGGCCAAGUAACGUUCUGGCUUUAAAUCAAUCACUGUAAAAACCCACUAAUCCCAUGAUUUCCUCUUCAUUGCAACUUUUGGAUUUCCUCAGUUUCUAUCUCUAUAUAUCCUUUUGUUCUCUAGCUUCUCCUCUUUACCAAAAUUAUAAAAAUCUAAGAAUCUUCGCAAGCUUCUACACUCUAAGCUGCAACAUUUCCUUACGAACAGUGGUCGCAAAGUUGAUUCUGUACAGUUCAAAGGUUCAUUCUGCGGAUCAAAAGAUCAUUUGGAUGGCUCAGCAUCGAGCACUGAAACUUCACAUGUUGCAAAAUAUGUCUAUUGAAUCAUAAUAUCCGGAGACCAGAUCCGCAAUACAGCCGUUUCUGCUAUUUAACAAUCCCAUCAUAUAAGUAGUUUGCAAAAGGACACGACUCCUCUAUCAUCUACAUGAUUGCUUGUGACUCUUCAUUACUUUGUGUAUAGUUCUCAGAGCCUCAGGUUAAAUGCUCAGCUAUUAAAAGGCUCGAUCAUUGUCCCACUUAAAUAUUAGGCUUCUUAGUUUCUUGAGGGUUUUGGCAGAAAUUUUAUAUCAAUAUGAAGAAUAUUGCAGAGACGUGUUGAGGUUCACAAAAACGUCUUACUAGGCAGAUGAGACUUUUGGCUACAUAAACAUCAGAACUCUGAGUUAAACUACCUACAUCAUAUAACAGUCUUUCUGUAAAUAAUCUAACUGACGUUCAUAUUAGCUUGAACAUAUUUGCUAAUGGGACCAGGAACUAAAGCAAACUGCAGAUGGACAAAAGAAUUAGGCCAUUCGAUGGGGUUUACUAAGUCAGUCAUAUGUAUUGCUGUUUUGCAUCAGCCUCAGAGUUGAAUUCCUUACAAUGCGGACGUUUAUAGAACAGUAACAGUUUCUUGGGAGCCCGUACACCUCCUUCUGGUUAGUGGGCGCCAACAAUACAACAUUCUUUAUAUAAUUCUGCCGUUACUCCAAACAACCAGUACUUUGAUUGGUUUUCCAGUAGUUAGUAGGAAUUUCAAAAAUAUGUUUGCACUUUCCUUUAGGCAAUAUCUGUUUCACUUAACAAGAAACUGUGUUCUCUAUCACGUUUGAAGGAACAUGAACGUGAGGGAAAAUACAUGAACUUAAGUUUCUGAAGCUAAUAGUCAGUAGUGAACAUUAUAAAUACACUUACGAAAGACCUGGAGAAUAGGAGUUCACAAAAAGCUUUAGGAGGAAGAUAUGACAUGGUUAGAGAAAGCCAAGGACUUUUGUUUGGGACUCCGAGAGGUCUACAAAACGACCCCAAAAAAGAAAUAGAAGAAUGUUAAGUUAGAGUAAGUUUCUCAUUACAAUGAAAUAUUUCUUUCAGUAGACCAAUUUGUUGACUUUUUGUUAGGGAGAUUUUAACUAAAUAUACUCUCUUUUUUACUCUGCGAGCUUCUAACUAAAUUGUCGAAAAUAUAUCAAAACUGACUAUGGUGUUAGGCUCUUGUCUUUUAUCAA